rnacentral:rRNA from 1 species
CUGCUGCCUCCCGUAGGAGUCUGGUCCGUGUCUCAGUACCAGUGUGGGGGACCUUCCUCUCAGAACCCCUAGCAUCGUCGCCUUGGUGGGCCGUUACCCGCCCACAA